GGACUACAGGGGUAUCUAAUCCUGUUUGCUCCCCACGCUUUCGCGUCUCAGCGUCAAGAACGGUCCAGAAGGCCGCCUUCGCCACCGGUAUUCCUCCUAAUAUCUACGAAUUUCACCUCUACACUAGGAAUUCCACCUUCCUCUGCCGUCUUCUAGCCAAUUAGUUUCGGAUGCACUUCCUCGGUUGAGCCCAGGGAUUUCACACCCGACUUAACAAACCGCCUACACGCGCUUUACGCCCAAUGAUUCCGAACAACGCUAGCACCCUACGUAUUACCGCGGCUGCUGGCAC
rnacentral:rRNA from 1 species